AUGUGAGGCAGAGCCCAUGGAAGCCAGUGCGCAGGCUGUCAGCCCCGCCGUUCCAUUUGGAACGAUCCAUUUUGAAAACAGGAAAAUUAUGGUCGAGAAGCAAUAAAGAGCUCAGUUAUCUGCCGCCUUUCACUUUGUCUUGUUGCCUACACAGAUGCAGAAUGCCAAAUUUCUGCUGUUUCUCUGGCAGUGCCUUGCGUGGGCGCUCCCAGAGCUUCCUUUUCCUUAGGAGACCGCGGGACGGAGGAGAAUGCAAUCCAUGGCCACUUCUGGGGUGUGCAGUGCACAGAGGAUGCCAUGCAGCAAACACAGAGGGCCUGUCACAUGGAGCAACAUCCCCAUUUCUAUUAGUGGUGAUGAGAAGUAAUUAGUUCUACAGGGUGACACCGUUUUUGUGUGAUUUUCUUGCAAGCCUAAGAAAAUGGUGAAAUAUAUUUUCCUCUCUGGGCUCAGAACAGGGCCUAGAAAUCAGGUAAACUCUCAGAUUUCAAAAGCAUUCACCUUUUCUUAAACUCCAGGUACUACAUCAGUUUUAAUAAGGUGCAAACAGGCCUAAAAUUAAAGUAAUAUGAGUGUGAUUGUUGGCUUUUGUUUUAAAUCUCUGUGGAAUCCCUCAGAUGUAGAAAGAUUCUCUUGUAGUAAAGGACAUGUCAGACAUCAUGUUGGAAGUGGUACUGACUGGAGCCCAAGUACAAAAUAAGGUGAACCUCUCUAAUGAGCUCUGUUUUGAAGCUGAAGGAAAAAACAAAAAAGAUGACAGAUAAUAUGUUAAUAUUUUAUUUUUAUGAUCAAAAUCUUAUGUAUAACUGAUUUUAAAAUAAAUAUAAAAAUAAAUGUAAAUGUAAAAAUAAA
rnacentral:lncRNA from 1 species